rnacentral:rRNA from 1 species
GACGAACGCUGGCGGCGUGCUUAACACAUGCAAGUCGAACGGAAAGGCCCUGCUUGCAGGGUACUCGAGUGGCGAACGGGUGAGUAACACGUGGGUGAUCUGCCCUGCACUUCGGGAUAAGCCUGGGAAACUGGGUCUAAUACCGGAUAGGAGCCAUUUUUAGUGUGAUGGUUGGAAAGUUUUUUCGGUGUAGGAUGAGCUCGCGGCCUAUCAGCUUGUUGGUGGGGUAAUGGCCUACCAAGGCGGCGACGGGUAGCCGGCCUGAGAGGGUGGACGGCCACAUUGGGACUGAGAGACGGCCCAGACUCCUACGGGAGGCAGCAGUGGGGAAUAUUGCACAAUGGGCGCAAGCCUGAUGCAGCGACGCCGCGUGGGGGAUGACGGCCUUCGUGUUGUAAACGCCUUUCGCUAGGGACGAAGCUUUUUGUGACGGUACCUAGAUAAGAAGCACCGGCUAACUACGUG